GGUAGUAUGGCCGAGCAGUCUAAGGCGCUGGAUUUAAGUUCCAGUCUCUUCAGAGACGUGGGUUCGCAAUCCCACUACUACCA